UAAAAAAAUUAACGAGAUUUGAAAUGGCUAUGUCAUGGCCGAAAGCGGAAGUGACGUUUUAGUAUGGAAAUAGGGGAAAAAUGUCGAGCUCAAGACACUAGAUCUAGCUAGACCGCCUAGAGGAUUCUAGAUCUUGUUUUUUGUUAUUAAGACCAACUUAACGUAGACAAUUUAGUCUUAUUACUAAAUUAAACCUGACAUUGGCUAAAAGAUGAUCUGAAGCGUUCAACAGUGGAUGGCUGCCUGAUUGUGUGUUAUGCCAGCUGGACUGUUAUUUUAUAAGACUGUUGAGCAUCUUUUACUUAUAAAUCUAAAAGCUGAUGCUAUGACACUCAAUGGCUUAGAAGAAAUCCUGUCAGUUUUAUAUGGUCAUGACAAUAAUCUUUAAUAAAUAAGUCUUAUACAAGGACACUAAAGAUUAUUAUUAUUAU